rnacentral:lncRNA from 1 species
GUGAAAUGCAGAUCAUUUAUUUGCCUUGAUUCAGCACACAGAGCUGGAGUGGUUUUACAACACACACUCAGAAGCACUUUUCUCUCCUGUCAUUUUCUAUCCAUCUUAUUCUGUCUAUUUUACUACAGUCCAGUGGUGCAAGAAAUCCUUGUUUGUGAACAUCUGGAAAAAAACACUGUAGAUUUACAGGGAGAAAUAAAAAAAGAAAGCUGCAACAUCAAGGCAACAAGGGAACCGACUCUGAAUGAGAGCACUAAAACAGACUGC